ensembl:snoRNA
CCAGGCAGCCAAAUCUGUGAGACCAAGAAAUAGCACCCAUUUCAUAGUGUCCCAUGCCAGAGCAAACUGUGGUCCCGAACCAUUGCCUGGCCUCGAUCUGUGGGCUACAGGCACUGAAGGGGAUUGUACAGAG